rnacentral:rRNA from 1 species
GAGUUUGAUCCUGGCUCAGAUUGAACGCUGGCGGCAUGCCUUACACAUGCAAGUCGAACGGCAGCACGGGUGCUUGCACCUGGUGGCGAGUGGCGAACGGGUGAGUAAUACAUCGGAAUGUACCUUGUAGUGGGGGAUAGCUCGGCGAAAGCCGGAUUAAUACCGCAUACGCUCUGAGGAGGAAAGCGGGGGACCUUCGGGCCUCGCGCUACAAGAGCAGCCGAUGUCAGAUUAGCUAGUUGGUGGGGUAAAAGCUCACCAAGGCGGCGAUCUGUAGCUGGUCUGAGAGGACGACCAGCCACACUGGGACUGAGACACGGCCCAGACUCCUACGGGAGGCAGCAGUGGGGAAUUUUGGACAAUGGGCGAAAGCCUGAUCCAGCAAUGCCGCGUGUGUGAAGAAGGCCUUCGGGUUGUAAAGCACUUUUGUCCGGAAAGAAAUCCUUUGGGUUAAUACCUCGGGGGGAUGACGGUACCGGAAGAAUAAGCACCGGCUAACUACGUGCCAGCAGCCGCGGUAAUACGUAGGGUGCAAGCGUUAAUCGGAAUUACUGGGCGUAAAGCGUGCGCAGGCGGUUUUGUAAGACGGAUGUGAAAUCCCCGGGCUUAACCUGGGAACUGCAUUCGUGACUGCAAGGCUAGAGUAUGGCAGAGGGGGGUAGAAUUCCACGUGUAGCAGUGAAAUGCGUAGAGAUGUGGAGGAAUACCGAUGGCGAAGGCAGCCCCCUGGGCCAAUACUGACGCUCAUGCACGAAAGCGUGGGGAGCAAACAGGAUUAGAUACCCUGGUAGUCCACGCCCUAAACGAUGUCAACUAGUUGUUGGGGAUUCAUUUCCUUAGUAACGAAGCUAACGCGUGAAGUUGACCGCCUGGGGAGUACGGUCGCAAGAUUAAAACU